UACGAAGGGGGCUAGCGUUGCUCGGAAUCACUGGGCGUAAAGGGUGCGUAAGCGGGUCUUUAAGUCAGGGGUGAAAUCCUGGAGCUCAACUCCAGAACUGCCUUUGAUACUGAGGAUCUUGAGUUCGGGAGAGGUGAGUGGAACUGCGAGUGUAGAGGUGAAAUUCGUAGAUAUUCGCAAAGAACACCAGUGGCGAAGGCGGCUCACUGGCCCGAUACUGACGCUGAGGCACGAAAGCGUGGGGAGCAAACAGG
rnacentral:rRNA from 1 species